UACGAAGGGGGCUAGCGUUGCUCGGAAUCACUGGGCGUAAAGGGUGCGUAGGCGGGUCUUUUAAGUCAGGGGUGAAAUCCUGGAGCUCAACUCCAGAACUGCCUUUGAUACUGAAGAUCUUGAGUUCGGGAGAGGUGAGUGGAACUGCGAGUGUAGAGGUGAAAUUCGUAGAUAUUCGCAAGAACACCAGUGGCGAAGGCGGCUCACUGGCCGAUACUGACGCUGAGGUGCGAAAGCGAUGG
rnacentral:rRNA from 1 species